CAACCCUUAAGCCCCAGUUGCUUAGUGUCGGGAGACUGCCGUAAAACGCAGCUCCUCAGAGUUAGCUGGCAGAGUUGGUUCCAAUCUCUGGGCGUAGUAAAUUUUUAUCUCGUCUCUUGCAGUUGGGCCGGCGCUCGCCAUUAAACACCCCAAAUUUUCUAU
rnacentral:misc_RNA from 1 species